GCGACCUGAAUCAGUCAAGUCCAGUGCUUGGUCCACCCAACAGGGUUGGAAAGGAUCUCGAUGAGGUAAUUCCUCUGCAAGAUUCAGGGGCCACAAAUCCCCCAUCAACAACCGAAGAUAUUGAAGAGAUGACGGCUGAGAGCAACCGGAUUCAGACGGCUGCG